UUGCAUCUCAUGCAAUUUUCAAUAUAAUCUUUACCUCUAAAAAUACUCAUAGCCUUGUGGAUAUCACAACAAACUAUAGUAUUUUAUAGUUAAGUCAGAUCCUUCAUUUUCAUACAGCCAUAUCUAAAAAAUACUAUCUUUGUGGAUAUCAUAACAAAGCAACAUAUCCAAAUAUGCUAUAAAGCAUAUAAUAUGCAUCAGGACAAACCCACAUCAAUCCCUAUAGCAAGCC
rnacentral:lncRNA from 1 species